rnacentral:rRNA from 1 species
UAACGGCCCACCACGGCACCGGUGGGUAGCUGGUUUGAAAGAGCCACCAGCCACACUGGGACUGAGCAACGGCCCAUACUCCUACGGGAGGCAGCAGUGAGGAAUUUUCCGCAAUGGGCGGAAUCCUGACGGAGCGACGCCGCGUGUGGGAAGAAGGCCUUCGGGUCGUAAACCACUGUCGAAGGGGACGAUAAUGACGGCACCCUUGGAGGAAGCCCCGGCUAACUACGUGCCAGCAGCCGCGGUAAGACGUAGGGGGCGAGCGUUAUUCGGAAUCAUUGGGCGUAAAGCGCUCGUCGGCGGAUCAGACAGUCGGAGAAGAAAGACCUGUGCUCAACUCAGGGAACGGCACCGAUACUACUGGUCUUGAGGCAAUCAGAGGAUGAUGGAAUUCCCGGUGUAGCGGAGAAAUG